UACGUAGGGUGCAAGCGUUGUCCGGAAUUAUUGGGCGUAAAGAGCUCGUAGGCGGUUUGUCGCGUCGGCUGUGAAAACCCGGGGCUCAACCCCGGGCCUGCAGUCGAUACGGGCAAACUAGAGUGUGGUAGGGGAGACUGGAAUUCCUGGUGUAGCGGUGAAAUGCGCAGAUAUCAGGAGGAACACCGGUGGCGAAGGCGGGUCUCUGGGCCGAUAUUGACGCUGAGGAGCGAAAGCGUGGGGAGCGAACAGG
rnacentral:rRNA from 1 species